GGGACCAUAAUCUCAGUUGGUAGAGGGCUCCCUUGAUAGGGGAGAGGUCGGUGGUUCGAGCCCACCUGGUCCCA